rnacentral:rRNA from 1 species
GUUCCUAGGGAGGCAGCAGUGAGGAAUAUUGGACAAUGGACGAGAGUCUGAACCAGCCAAGUCGCGUGAGGGAGUACUGCCCUAUGGGUUGUAAACCUCUUUUGUCGGGGAGCAAAAGCCGGACGUGUCCGGCUGUGAGAGUACCCGAAGAAAAAGCAUCGGCUAACUCCGUGCCAGCAGCCGCGGUAAUACGGAGGAUGCGAGCGUUAUCCGGAUUUAUUGGGUUUAAAGGGUGCGCAGGCGGAUUUUUAAGUCAGCGGUCAAAUCGUGGGGCUCAACCCCAUCCAGCCGUUGAAACUGGGGAU